UACGUAGGGGGCAAGCGUUGUCCGGAUUUAUUGGGCGUAAAGCGCGCGUAGGCGGCGCGGUAUGUCGUGCGUGAAAUCUCCCGGCUUAACUGGGAGGGGCCGUGCGAAACUGCCGGGCUUGAGGUCAGAAGGGGAAAGUGGAAUUCCGGGUGUAGUGGUGGAAUACGUAGAUAUCCGGAGGAACACCAGCGGCGAAGGCGGCUUUCUGGUCUGAUACUGACGCUGAGGCGCGAAAGCUAGGGGAGCGAACGGG
rnacentral:rRNA from 1 species